UCUGCCCCUAGAGUCUUUGCAGGUGUGGCUCCUGUGUCACAUGUACGUGAGCAGGUGGCAGAGAGGAGAGAGGCUGUCUGUGCUCAGUGUUCAGACCUGUGAACAUCUGAAUAAACAGUAGCUCAACACU